AACAGGACAAAAGCCUCGACGCUGCGCAAUUGUUACAGUAGCAGUCUUUCUGCUUCUGCAGGUUUCGACCAUGAUCCCCUCGUGUAGUAGGGGUCUGCGGAAGGAUCAUUG
rnacentral:rRNA from 1 species